rnacentral:snoRNA from 1 species
GUCUUACACUUGAUCUCUAAGGUAAGUUCAUGUGUUGACAAGUACAUAGAAUAGAAAAAGCUCUGAAAGGUUGCU